GGUACUUGCAUUCUCCAACACGUCUGGGUUCCAGACGCUUCUCUGGACAGCCAGGAGCCAGGAGCGUUUCAGAUUCCAGCGAGAGGUUUUCUCUCCCCUGAGGCAUAAAGUAGAUGCAGAGUGUCCAGAGUGCUAAGUGGAGCACCCUGGAGAAAUGUGGACACGUCUACCCCUCUGUCACCGCGAUCCUUCUAGAAGGUUCCCUGGUGCCCUUCCCGGUUGUUUGCGGCGUGCGGCAGCUACAUACAAACCCUGCCGAUUUACUCGAG